rnacentral:rRNA from 1 species
UACGUAGGGUGCGAGCGUUUAAUCGGAAUUACUGGGCGUAAAGCGUGCGCAGGCGGUUUUGUAAGCCGGAUGUGAAAUCCCCGGGCUUAACCUGGGAAUGGCAUUCGGGACUGCAAGGCUGGAGUGCGGCAGAGGAGACGUGGAAUUCCUGGUGUAGCAGUGAAAUGCGUAGAUAUCAGGAGGAACACCGAUGGCGAAGGCAGGUCUCUGGGCUGACACUGAC